GGCGCACGGGUGCGUAACACGUAACUAACCUACCUAUAACUGGGGGAUAGCCCGCCGAAAGGCGGAUUAAUACCGCAUAAGCCACGAACUCGGCAUCGAGAUUUUGGUAAAGAUUUAUUGGUUAUAGAUGGGGUUGCGGGUCAUUAGCUAGUUGGUAAGGUAACGGCUUACCAAGGCGACGAUGACUAGGGGAGCUGAGAGGCUGGUCCCCCACACGGGCACUGAGAUACGGGCCCGACUCCUACGGGAGGCAGCAGUAGGGAAUAUUGGGCAAUGGGCGAGAGCCUGACCCAGCCAUGCCGCGUGCAG
rnacentral:rRNA from 1 species